rnacentral:lncRNA from 1 species
AAGGAAUCUGGCAACUUUCUUUAAGGGUUACUUCAAGCAAGUAUCACUUGGAAAUUUCUUUUCAGAUGAUUUCCAGGAUUUUUUUUCCAUCCUCUAAUUUUAAUUCACAGUGAUAUACUGGUUCUUUAUGAUCAGUCUUGUAAGCUAUUUGAUCCUAAGCAAGCCCCAGUUAACCUUCACCAUGUUUGCUGACACAAUCACAUCAUCAAUUCCUCAAGCCUGACAUUUUAUUUCUUGUAAUUUGCAACUGAAGUAAUGCUCGGUAAGUACUCAGCCCAGAACAAACUUUGCAAACAACAACACAACUAAUAGUAUGUUUUGUCUUUCAGUGCCAUCAAUAAUGGCAAUCACAAUAGUCAGGGCUCGAUAAUUCCCUCUAAUGGAAGUGUGUGCCAAGGUCGGUGGAGACUGCAGUUGUGAUAAGAGCAUUUGAGCCAUUAAAGAAAAAGCCAGCAACGAUUUGUUCGAGCCUGCGAGACACUCCCAAUAAAGUGGUGUAGUAGAAUUGAAGGAAUUGCAAAAAACAUAAAAUCUUUUUCUGUAUUUCAAAUCAUUUUACUUAUGAACUAGUAUAAUGCUUGAUUAAUAGCAAGAAUCCACUGCUGCUAUUGCUGCUGCUUGCAAUCUCUAGUUACUCAGAAUCCAAAAUACACCAAGUGACAAAAUCUUGAACUUAUUUUUUAUCUGCUUGAAAUAUAAUCAUUCAUUCUUGUGCUGGGAAUACCAGAAAUUCGUUUAUCUUUAAGAAUUAUCUCAUGUAAUUACUAAUAAGAAAUAGUAAAA